rnacentral:rRNA from 1 species
AAAUGAAUAGACGGGGACCCGCACAAGCGGAGGAUCAUGUGGUUUAAUUCGAUGGUACGCGGCGAACCUUACCUAGGUUUGACAUGUAGCUGCAAGCUUGCUGAAAGGCGAGCCGCCUUUGAGGGUGCUACACAGGUGCUGCAUGGUUGCCGUCAGCUCGUGCCGUGAGGUGUACCGUUAAGUCGGGUAACGAGCGUAACCCUUGUUCUGUGUUAAAUGCACACAGAAGACUGCCUACGCAAGUAGGAGGAAGGUGGGGACGACGUCAAAUCAGCAUGGCUCUUACAUCUAGGGCUACACACAUGAUACAAUGGCUGGUACAAAGGGUAGCGAAAUCGCGAGAUGGAGCUAAUCUCAAAAAACCAGUCUCAGUUCGGAUUGCAGGCUGAAAUUCGUCUGCAUGAAGUUGGAUUCGCUAGUAAACGCGCAUCAGCCACGGCGCGUUGAAUACGUUCUCGGGUCUUGUACACACCGCCCGU